rnacentral:lncRNA from 1 species
GGCAAAAGUUGUGUGAUAGUGAAUGUUACGUGUUUCAACAAGUCCUAUGUUUGGAGUCUGCGAGCCACUUCAUUGCAGUCAGGCAAAAGUUCCAUCGACAUCGCUCUUCUGUGCGCGUCUCAACUGACCCCUUCCGCAUAGCGUCUGCUCAAGUCAGAACCGCCUGCACGUAGCGUUGGGACGUCAGCCUUUUCUCAACAAAAGCGGUUUGGAGUCUGCAAGCCACUAGGUACUUGCAGAAUGGCAGAAGCAAACGUAAAUAUGGCAGAAGAAAACGCCGAUGACGGAAUAAUGAACGCGUACUUAGAAUUGUACGGUGACAAUGUUGUACCGUCACCGAUGGCAAGACCUGAAUUCCAUGAAGAUUUUACGAUUCUCCCAAUGACACCAGUGGCGGUGUACUCGAAGCGCAUGAGAGAUCUACAACCUGGAAUAUCGGAAGCCCAGUUAAACCAGGACUUCAGAGCUUUACCUUACCGGAAAGGGCUAGGUUUAAAAGAGAGGCUGACAUUAAUAAGAUGAUAAAUACAAACAAUAUACUCGACUUCCUCCUAAGGCAACCACCACACAAACGAAAAAAUUAUGUGUGCUUCAACAGAUAUAGGUUCUUAGAAACUUUUGGUAGGGACAUAUUCCUGGCGGACUACCCAAUUGAAGAGUAUCCGCCUUAUCGUUAGUGAGGUAUUGUUCAAUUGGGUACAUCUUCCGCCUCGAUGGCGAUGUUAACUUGUGAGCUUAAGGCUAGUGUGGAUCCUGGCCUUGCUUCAUAUUUACAGUGCCUUGCUUAAUAUUUACAGUGCCUUGCUUCAUAUUUACAGUGCC